UACACUCCUACGGGAGGCAGCAGUGGGGAAUAUUGCACAAUGGGCGCAAGCCUGAUGCAGCCAUGCCGCGUGUAUGAAGAAGGCCUUCGGGUUGUAAAGUACUUUCAGCGGGGAGGAAGGCGAUAAGGUUAAUAACCUUGUCGAUUGACGUUACCCGCAGAAGAAGCACCGGCUAACUCCGUGCCAGCAGCCGCGGUAAUACGGAGGGUGCAAGCGUUAAUCGGAAUUACUGGGCGUAAAGCGCACGCAGGCGGUCUGUCAAGUCGGAUGUGAAAUCCCCGGGCUCAACCUGGGAACUGCAUUCGAAACUGGCAGGCUAGAGUCUUGUAGAGGGGGGUAGAAUUCCAGGUGUAGCGGUGAAAUGCGUAGAGAUCUGGAGGAAUACCGGUGGCGAAGGCGGCCCCCUGGACAAAGACUGACGCUCAGGUGCGAAAGCGUGGGGAGCAAACAGGAUUAGAAACCCUAGUAGUCC
rnacentral:rRNA from 1 species